UGCUCUUCUAGUAUACUUAUUACAAUGGACUUCCAAUCCUUUAAAUCUGGUCUAAACCCAGAGAAGAGCAA
rnacentral:tRNA from 1 species